GCUGGGCACAGUGGAACAUGUCUGUAGUUCCGCCUACUCAGGAGGCUGAGAUGGGAGGAUUGCUUGAGUCCAGGAGUUCUGGGCUGUAGUAAGCUAUGCUGAUCACAUGUCCGCACUAAAUUUGACAUCAAUAAGGUGACCUCCUGGGAGUGGGGGACCACUAGGUUGCCUAAGGAGGGGUGAACCGGCCCAGGUUGGAAAGGAAGCAGUCAAAACUCCCGUGCUGAUCAGUACUGGGAUUGCGCCUAUGAGUAGCCACUGCACUCCAGCCUGGGCAACAUAGUGAGACCCCUUCUCUA
ensembl:misc_RNA Metazoa_SRP Metazoan signal recognition particle RNA